UAGGGAAUAUUGCAAAAUGGGCGAAAGCCCGAUGCAGCAACGCCGCGUGGGCGAUGAAGGCCUUCGGGUCGUAAAGCCCUUUUUGAGGGGAUGAGGAAGGACAGUACCCUCAGAAUAAGCCUCGGCUAACUACGUGCCAGCAGCCGCGGUAAAACGUAGGAGGCGAGCGUUAUCCGGAUUUACUGGGCGUAAAGCGCGUGCAGGCGGAUUGGAGAGUCGGAUGUGAAAGCUCCCGGCUUAACUGGGAGAGGUCGUUCAAUACUUCCAGUCUUGAGUGCAGUAGAGGGAAGUGGAAUUCCGGGUGUAGUGGUGAAAUGCGUAGAUAUCCGGAGGAACACCAGUGGCGAAAGCGGCUUCCUGGACUGUAACUGACGCUCAGACGCGAAAGCUAGGGUAGCAAACG
rnacentral:rRNA from 1 species